rnacentral:rRNA from 1 species
UACGAAGGGGGCUAGCGUUGUUCGGAAUUACUGGGCGUAAAGGGCGCGUAGGCGGUGUGUCAAGUCAGGCGUGAAAGCCCCCGGGCUCAACCUGGGAACAGCGCUUGAGACUGGCACGCUCGAGUUCGGGAGAGGAUGGUGGAAUUCCCAGUGUAGAGGUGAAAAUUCGUAGAUAUUGGGAAGAACACCGAUGGCGAAGGCAGCCAUCUGGACCGACACUGACGCUGAGGCGGCAAAGC